rnacentral:rRNA from 1 species
UACGGAGGGUGCGAGCGUUGUCCGGAAUCACUGGGCGUAAAGGGCGCGUAGGUGGCGCGGGAAGUCAACGGUGAAAGUUCGGGGCUCAACCCUGAAUCGGCCGUCGAUACUCCCGGGCUCGAGCACUGUAGAGGCAGAUGGAAUUCCUGGUGUAGCGGUGAAAUGCGCAGAUAUCAGGAGGAACACCGAUGGCGAAGGCAGGUCUCUGGGCCACUACUGACGCUGAGAAGCGAAAGCAUGGGGAGCGAACAGG